AACGUAGGAGACUAGCGUUAUCCGGAUUUACUGGGCGUAAAGAGCGCGCAGGCGGUCGUACAAGUCGCGUGUGAAAGCCCCCGGCUCAACUGGGGAGGGUCACGCGAUACUGUUCGACUCGAGGGCAGGAGAGGGAAGUGGAAUUCCCGGUGUAGUGGUGAAAUGCGUAGAUAUCGGGAGGAACACCAGUGGCGAAGGCGACUUCCUGGACCGGCAUUGACGCUGAGGAGCGAAAGCCAGGGGAGCAAACGGG
rnacentral:rRNA from 1 species